AGUCUUUCCACCGCCUGUAUUUCAGCAUAUGUCAGUCAGGGCGGCCCAGCAUCUCCAGAUGGCUUCGAGCUCCCUCUACAUAUCCGAUGCCAGCUCAUCACUGGAGAAGUGUGUGUGUGUGGGGAGAGUCCCAGAGACAGAGACAUAAAGCCACAGUGGGGAGAGACGGAAAUGAGGUAGGCAAGACAGAAAGAAUGAGAGGGAGGAAGAGGGAAGGGACAGAAGGCAGGAGAGCCUAGAUUCUUCCUCCUAGUCUAAAAGGACCCUCACCUUCGGGGCUGGGCCUGUGGCCAAGUGGUUAAGGUUCCACACUUUCUGCUUGGGAGGCCUGGGUUCACAGGUUCAGAUCCCAGAUGCGGCCCUACUCCACUCAUCAGCCAUGCUGUGGAGGCAUCCCACAUACAAAGUAGAGGAAGAUGGGCACAGAUGUUAGUUCAGGGCUAAUAUUCCUCAAAUGAAAAGAUAAAAAAAAUAAAAGGACCCUAACCUUCCUGCAGGGAGGGUCUCUCCUCCACGAGGUUGGUGGGGGGUGUCUGAAGAAGACUCUCUCAGCCUCGAGUUCUCUGGCAGACAGUGAAAUUGGUGGUUCUCAAAGUGUGUUCCCUGGACCAGCAGCUCAGCAUGACUUGGGAGCUUGUCAGAAGUGCAAAUUCUCCUGCCUCACCCCAGACCUCCUGAAUCAAAGACUGCGGGGUAGGGCCCAGCAUCUGUGUUUUAACAAGCCCUCCAGGUGUUUCUGCUGCACGCUCGAGUUUGAGAACCACACCCUGAAGUUGCAGUGCUUGGCCUCCAGUGCUGUGAACUGCUCUCAGUCCCCGCCACGGGGCUGCUGUCUUCCAAGAGGAGUGACGUGGGUGGUCUUGAGAGCUGGCACCAUCUUCAGAGUCACUCAAAUGAUACCUCUGUAGCCUUCAAUUACCUGUAGGAAUUGGGGGAACAGGAGGAAGUGUCAAGGAACAGCCCAGAGGAAGAAAAAAGACAACCUGGAGAAAAGGAUGCUUAGAAGGGCAAGGCUGCAGCUGGUGCGUGCAGCUCUUAAGUAGCAGGCUCUCAGCUCCUGCCAUGCAGGACGAUGAUGGAAAGGGGGCACUAAUGGGAAAGCAGUCUGACCCCAGCUUCAGGUGAAUUUGAUGGAGGGUCAAUUUGGGGAUAAUUGUGGUGCGCUGUCUGGAUUCUGCUGGGAGAGGGCAGAUGGGGACAGGAGCAGGGAUGGGUAGAGGGUAGAAGGGAGAGGAGUGGGGGGCAGGGAGGGAGAGAGAUGCUGGGGAACAGGGGGCCCAGGCAGAGGCCCCUGCUCCAGGCCUGGAGUUUCCAGAAGACCAUCAUCAUUGUCCAGCCAUCCACAUUGUUCUUCUGGCUUCUGAGGCUGGAGACCAGGGGUGAGGAGCUUGGUGUGGCCCUCAAGGAGAGGCCUGUUCUCAUUUCAGCGGGUGUGGGUAUUAAGUUUGGUCCAUGUGCUGGCAGUGGGCAGGAUGGUCAGUGACCUCAAACUCAAAGUCUUCAGGCUCCGGGCAGAUAACAUAAGAGAGAAGCACAGCCUGGGAGGAAAUGCCAGGGCAGACACUGUCUCCUGGGGAUUGUGUGAACUGGAAAUACAGGCCCUGUCUAGACCGUUCAGCAGCCACCAGACUCCAGCCUGUUAGCACCCAGAAACGUCACUCCCCGCCACCAGGCUGAUCAAAUCCAGAUGGAGGUAUACAGCAGCAGGUCCUGCAAGAGAAGUUACAAGAAGCUCACAUACUGCCUGCGUGCCAGGGGCAGCUCUGUCUGGGCUGGCCGUGGGGAACGGGGCUUCGAAGGGUCCCAGACUCCAUUCUGCAGCGAUGCGGGGCAGCAAAGCAUUUUACAGUGAGGACCACCAUUGUCUGAUCCCUCUAAGAAUGGGUCUUGAAUUUCUGAUGCCAGUUUCUCCCUCAAGGGCCAGGGUAAUGCUGGGCAUCCUGCGUGCAUUCUUUCCAUAAGCCCCCUGCCUUCAGGAAUAUAAAAUGUUUAUCUUUUCUGCUUGACACAGCACAGCUGAGAACCAAAAAGUGAAAUAACCUGUGCUGAGUCAUCAGCCGGGAGGCGGGGGAUUGGAGGCAGGAAAAAUAAAUGUAGCAUCUCCCCCUGGGGGCUCCCGUCAAAGACUGUCGAAGGGAGGGUCCGACAGGUAGGGAGGAGAGGGGGGAGCUUGAGGAGCAGGACUCCCCGUGGUCUGUACUGGUCCAGGAACCCCUUUGGCUGUGGCCUUGAGCAGCAGCUGCAGCUCCUCUCACCUUUCCCUCCUCCAGAUGUCCUCAAACAUCCUAAUAUUUAUUUCUACUUGGGAACAGCAGCAAAUCAACAAAGGCAUGUCAAGGACGCCCUCACCUUCCUCUAUGAGGCUCCGAGCCCUAUUUCUGAUUUUCUAAUUGAGCAUGGUUACGUUUUUACUUCCUAUCCUUCUGUACGAUUUGAGGGUUUUUUAAACGAAAACAAAGAGCAGGAGCGAGUGAAUUCAACUCUGGGGCUGCUUUGAACUCUCGUCUCUGCCAAUUAACCCUCCCGGGGAAGGCUGAAGCGCCUCUUAGAAGUGGCAGAAUGCGAGAGAAGCAAUCACCUAGCUGUGUGAACUUGGGAAGGAAUCUGGAGAUGUGACUGCUUCACGAACAGACCUUCAACCAAUUCUCCUAAUUUUUGCACCCUUCCCCGUCACCUCCACUUCCAGAAGUAACUGGUGCUGGCAGUUUUCGAGACUUCUGGGGAUUCUGGCUCACAAAUCGGGGUGGUUUUCCACAUUCUGCACUGUUGGCUUAGGAUUUAAUUUUUUCUCCAUUUUCUUGGGUCUGCUAAGUAAAUUAUCCCUUAUCUAGCUGCUUUUCACAUUUCAAAUUUUGCUGCUGUUUUCUACCCUCCCAUUUUCCCCAUUCAUGUGAGUCUGUGCCUUAAAAAAAGUCUCUUUACUAGCAUUUUAAUGGGAUUUCCAUAGAGAAUGAAAUCAAGGGUUUGCAUCUUUACACAAAACUCCCUGCUGUUCAAAUUCCCCUUCUUUUUCCCAUCCAUUUAUUCUUCCACCUAGAAAUCACGGCAGUGAAAACAAAGAAAUGCAUAACCUUAGUCGUAAGCUGUAAAGCAUUACAUUUAGUGGGAGAAUCAAAAAAGGGGCGAGGAGGUGUGAGGAAGGACGUGAAUUAUGUGUAUGUAUUAGGAAAGUGUAUCGAGCAUGAACACAGCUUAAUCUCGAUACUUUUGGAAUACACAUUUUAGGAAACAGGGCUGAACAAUGUCUUGGUUUAUGAGAUUACACUGAAAAUACAGCAAUUCAUCCUCGAGGUAUACACUAGGACUUUCUUUCAGAAUUUCCAGAGAAAGAUGAGAUUUUAAUUUUGAUCCCAAGGGGGCACGAGUUUUAAAAAAGAGGCGGGGGCAGGAUUGGCCUAAGCUCCAUGCGAAGGAAGAUGCCCUCAAUGACACGCUGAACUCUGGCUCUCCAGGCUGGAGACCUUUUAGGAUAGGUCACCAGGCAAGAAGUGCUGAUGAGCUCACUCCACUCAGCGCAGGCCUCAGCCAGGUGUCUUGCAGGUAUGCUUGUCUUUCUUUGCAGGCCUUCCCUAAAUUUGUCAUUAAUAAUAGACUCCUUCCUUUUUUAUAAUGUCGAUUAAAAUCAUGUCCUCUAAAACAAUGGUUCUUAACUCUGUGCAGCAGAAUUACUGGUGGAUCUUUCAAAAA
rnacentral:lncRNA from 1 species